rnacentral:rRNA from 1 species
UGGGGAAUUUUGCACAAUGGGGGAAACCCUGAUGCAGCGACGCCGCGUGAUUUAGAAGGCCUUCGGGUUGUAAAAAUCUUUUGUAUGGGAAGAAAAUGACAGUACCAUACGAAUAAGGACCGGCUAAUUACGUGCCAGCAGCCGCGGUAAUACGUAAGGUCCGAGCGUUGUCCGGAAUCAUUGGGCGUAAAGGGUACGUAGGCGGAUAAGCAAGUUAGAAGUGAAAUCCUAUAGCUCAACUAUAGUAAGCUUUUAAAACUGCUCAUCUUGAGGUAUGGAAGGGAAAGUGGAAUUCCUAGUGUAGCGGUGAAAUGCGCAGAUAUUAGGAGGAAUACCGGUGGCGAAAGCGGCUCUCUGGUCUGUAACUGACGCUGAGGCUCGAAAGCGUGGGGAGCGAACAGG